rnacentral:lncRNA from 1 species
UCUCGUCGAGGAAGAGAUCCUCGGGGACGCGGAAGGCUCCGUGGGCGGCGACCAUGGCGGCGCCGGCCACGAGGGCGGAGAUGAUGAUGGAUCCGACGGAGGUGAGGAAGACGACGAGGACGGAGAAGAGGACGAGGCCGCCGAGGGUCUCGCGGUCGGAGAAGGUGCGGCCGAAGAGGACGAGGGGCGGAUCGGCAGGGCGGAAGAGGUAGAGGAGGCACCAGGCGGCGAGGAGGGCGAGGAGGACGAGGAGGGAGAAGGGGUUGGUGACGAGGGAGAGGGCGAGGAUGGCGGCCACCACGGCGGCGUAGUUGACGCGGAAGUAGGCGAGGUUCUUGCGGAGGCGGGAGGUGGCGUCGGCGAGGGUGUCCGGGCGGGAGAAGGCCGAGCGGUCGGCGAGUUCGGACCAGGGACGGCGCUCGGAGAGGAAGCGGCUGACGGAGUCGGAGAGGCGGGAGAGGAAGAGCCGGAAGGCCGGAGUGGAGACCGGGGCCGUGGAACCGGCGGAGGCGGCGCCGGAGGGAGGGUCGGAGAUGGGGAGGGGAGGCGGGGAGGGGGCGGAAGACAUCAUCGGGCGUAGGUACGAACGAAGCGAGAAGGAGAGAAGAAGAGGCUGAAUAAUUCGUUUCCCAUCAUU